GGCGAACGGGUGAGUAACACGUGAGUAGCCUGCCCUUGACUUUGGGAUAACUUCAGGAAACUGGGGCUAAUACCGGAUAGGAGCUCCUGCUGCAUGGUGGGGUUGGAAAGUUUCGGCGGUUGGGGAUGGACUCGCGGCUUAUCAGCUUGUUGGUGGGGUAGUGGCUUACCAAGGCUUUGACGGGUAGCCGGCCUGAGAGGGUGACCGGCCACAUUGGGACUGAGAUACGGCCCAG
rnacentral:rRNA from 1 species